rnacentral:rRNA from 1 species
UACAGAGGUGGCAAGCGUUGUUCGGAAUUACUGGGCGUAAAGGGCGCGUAGGCGGCCUUAUAAGUCUCGUGUGAAAGCCCUCGGCUUAACUGAGGAUCUGCACGGGAUACUGUAGGGCUCGAGUUCGGGAGAGGAAAGCGGAAUUCCGGGUGUAGCGGUGAAAUGCGUAGAUAUCCGGAGGAACACCAGUGGCGAAGGCGGCUUUCUGGACCGACACUGACGCUGAGGCGCGAAAGCUAGGGGAGCAAACGGGAUUAGAAACCCUUGUAGU